rnacentral:ncRNA from 1 species
UGAAGGUUUUUUAAGUUUUAUACGAAGAUAAUAAUUUUAGUUGUUAUUUUUAAUUUUCAUAUAUGUAAUAAAGAUACAAUUAAUAGAUUUGGCUUUGGUCAAAGAAUUGAAUAGCAUAAACUUAGAUAUACACAUGGUUCUUUUUGGUAGAGGUAAGGCUAAAGUUAUAGUAUUUUUAUGAAUUAAAGAUUCUUAAAAAUCUUAAUGAUCUGGUAUUAUUUAUAACAUAAUGCCAUGCUAUUGUGUUACUUGCACCAGUGAUGGAUAUUAGUAAAUGAGUGUAAACUUGAACUAGGUUAGUUUUAUAUUGUCUGGUUAAUGUGGUGCCAGCAUUCGCGGUUAGACCAUAAGACUUAGUUAUUUGCUAUAAGGCUGUAACAGUUAAAUAUAAAAGAUAGUUUGUUAAAUUUAAAUUUUAAUGGUAAAAUCUGUAAAAUUUAAAGAAAUCUGGUUUAAACUUUGGUUAAUUGAAGCUGUGAAAUUCUUAGCCAAGACUAGGAUUAGAUACCCUAUUAUUUAAGAUUUUAAAUAUAAUAUUGCCUGAGUACUACGAAUAAUAAAUUUUAUUUACGUUUGAUUUAAAACUCAAAAAGCUUGGCGGUGUUUUAGACUACUCAGGGGAACCUGUCCCUUAAUCGACAGUCCACGUAAGACCUGACUCUAUUUGGUAUAGUAUGUAUACCGUCGUCGGCAGGUAACUUUUUAAAAAAUAGAAGUUAGCGAAAUAAAAAUCUUGUUUUUUAUGUCAGAUCAAGGUGCAACUUAUAAUAGAGAGAGGAUGGGUUACAAUUAAUAGGUAAUUUUUAACUAUGGAGGCAUUAAUGAAAUUUUUUGCUGAAGGAGGACUUGAAAGUAAGAAAUUAUUAUAUAGAUUUUCUGAAUAUAGCUCUGAAACGUGCACACAUCGCCCGUCGCUCUCGUUGAAAAAUGAGAUAAGUCGUAACAUAGUAGGGGUAACGGAAGUUGUUCCUAGAUGA